AGAGUUUGAUCCUGGCUCAGGACGAACGCUGGCGGCGUGCUUAACACAUGCAAGUCGAGCGAUGAAACACCUUCGGGUGUGAAUUAGCGGCGAACGGGUGAGGAACACGUGAAGAAUCUGCCUUCAACUCUGGGAUAACUCCGGGAAACCGGGGCUAAUACCGGAUAUGAGCCUUGAUCGCAUGAUCGGGGCUGGAAAGUUUUUCGGUUGAAGAUGACUUCGCGGCCUAUCAGCUUGUUGGUGAGGUAAUGGCUCACCAAGGCGACGACGGGUAGCCGGCCUGAGAGGGCGACCGGCCACACUGGGACUGAGACACGGCCCAGACUCCUACGGGAGGCAGCAGUGGGGAAUAUUGGGCAAUGGAGGAAACUCUGACCCAGCGACGCCGCGUGAGGGAUGAAGGCCUUCGGGUUGUAAACCUCUUUCAGUAGGGAAGAAGCGAAAGUGACGGUACCUACAGAAGAAGCACCGGCUAACUAUGUGCCAGCAGCCGCGGUAAUACAUAGGGUGCAAGCGUUGUCCGGAAUUAUUGGGCGUAAAGAGCUCGUAGGUGGUUCGAUACGUCGGAUGUGAAAAUCAGGGGCUCAACCCCUGACCUGCAUCCGAUACGGUCGAGCUGGAGUUUGGUAGGGGAGACUGGAAUUCCUG
rnacentral:rRNA from 1 species